rnacentral:rRNA from 1 species
GCCUAACACAUGCAAGUCGAGCGGUAGCACAGAGAGCUUGCUCUCGGGUGACGAGCGGCGGACGGGUGAGUAAUGUCUGGGAAACUGCCUGAUGGAGGGGGAUAACUACUGGAAACGGUAGCUAAUACCGCAUAAUGUCGCAAGACCAAAGUGGGGGACCUUCGGGCCUCAUGCCAUCAGAUGUGCCCAGAUGGGAUUAGCUAGUAGGUGGGGUAACGGCUCACCUAGGCGACGAUCCCUAGCUGGUCUGAGAGGAUGACCAGCCACACUGGAACUGAGACACGGUCCAAACUCCUACGGGAGGCAGCAGUGGGGAAUAUUGCACAAUGGGCGCAAGCCUGAUGCAGCCAUGCCGCGUGUAUGAAGAAGGCCUUCGGGUUGUAAAGUACUUUCAGCGGGGAGGAAGGCGAUAAGGUUAAUAACCUUGUCGAUUGACGUUACCCGCAGAAGAAGCACCGGCUAACUCCGUGCCAGCAGCCGCGGUAAUACGGAGGGUGCAAGCGUUAAUCGGAAUUACUGGGCGUAAAGCGCACGCAGGCGGUCUGUCAAGUCGGAUGUGAAAUCCCCGGGCUCCGCCUGGGAACUGCCUUGCAAACUGGCAGGCUAAAGUCUUGUAGAGGGAGGUAGAAUUCCAGGUGUAGCGGUGAAAUGCGUAGAGGUCUGGAGGAAUACCGGUGGCGAAGGCGGCCCCCUGGACAAAGACUGACGCUCAGGUGCGAAAGCGUGGGGAGCAAACAGGAUUAGAUACCCUGGUAGUCCACGCCGUAAACGAUGUCGAUUUGGAGGUUGUGCCCUUGAGGCGUGGCUUCCGGAGCUAACGCGUUAAAUCGACCGCCUGGGGAGUACGGCCGCAAGGUUAAAACUCAAAUGAAUUGACGGGGGCCCGCACAAGCGGUGGAGCAUGUGGUUUAAUUCGAUGCAACGCGAAGAACCUCACCUGGUCUUGACAUCCACAGAACUUAGCAGAGAUGCUUUGGUGCCUUCGGGAACUGUGAGACAGGUGCUGCAUGGCUGUCGUCAGCUCGUGUUGUGAAAUGUUGGGUUAAGUCCCGCAACGAGCGCAACCCUUAUCCUUUGUUGCCAGCGGUUAGGCCGGGAACUCAAAGGAGACUGCCAGUGAUAAACUGGAGGAAGGUGGGGAUGACGUCAAGUCAUCAUGGCCCUUACGACCAGGGCUACACACGUGCUACAAUGGCAUAUACAAAGAGAAGCGACCUCGCGAGAGCAAGCGGACCUCAUAAAGUAUGUCGUAGUCCGGAUUGGAGUCUGCAACUCGACUCCAUGAAGUCGGAAUCGCUAGUAAUCGUAGAUCAGAAUGCUACGGUGAAUACGUUCCCGGGCCUUGUACACACCGCCCGUCACACCAUGGGAGUGGGUUGCAAAAGAAGUAGGUAGCUUAACCUUCGGGAGGGCGCUUACCACUUUGUGAUUCAUGACUGGGGUGAAGU